ACUGCCGUAGUGGUAAACACGGUUGUCUCAUGAACAGCGUGUCCGUGGUUCAAGUCCCGGUUGCAGUG
rnacentral:tRNA from 1 species